UACGUAGGUGACAAGCGUUGUCCGGAUUUACUGGGCGUAAAGAGCGCGCAGGCGGUCGAUCAAGUCGAGUGUGAAAGCCCCCGGCUCAACUGGGGAGGGUCAUUCGAUACUGAUCGACUCGAAGGCAGGAGAGGGUAGUGGAAUUCCCGGUGUAGUGGUGAAAUGCGUAGAUAUCGGGAGGAACACCAGUGGCGAAGGCGGCUUUCUGGCCCGUUCUUGACGCUGAGGCGCGAAAGCUAGGGUAGCAAACGGG
rnacentral:rRNA from 1 species